rnacentral:rRNA from 1 species
GACGAACGUUGGCGGCGUGCUUAAUACAUGCAAGUCAACUGAAGCACCGGUAGUAAUACUGGUGUGGAGGUGGCGCACGGGUGAGUAACACGUAGGUAAUCUGCCUUCAGGUCUGACAUAACUCCGAGAAAUCGAAGCUAAUAUCAGAUGAUGCAGCGGCUUGACAUCAAGACAGUUGUUAAAGCUUCGGCGCCUGGAGAUGAGCCUGCGCUGAUUAGCUAGUUGGCGGGGUAACGGCCCACCAAGGCUUCGAUCAGUAGCUGGUCUGAGAGGAUGAUCAGCCACACUGGAACUGAGACACGGUCCAGACUCCUACGGGAGCAGCAGCAAGGAAUAUUGCUCAAUGGGAGAAAUCCUGAAGCAGCAACGCCGCGUGAA